rnacentral:rRNA from 1 species
AACUGUCUUUUGUACGGAACGAAAAGACUCCUUCUAAUAAAGGGGGGCCAUGACGGUACCGUAAGAAUAAGCACCGGCCAACGACGUGCCAGCAGCCGCGGUAAUACGUAGGGUGCAAGCGUUAAUCGGAAGUACUGGGCGUAAAGCGUGCGCAGGCGGUUAUGUAAGACAGAAGUGAAAUCCCCGGGCUCAACCUGGGAACUGCAUUUGUGACUGCAUAGCUUGAGUACGGCAGAGGGGGACGGAACACCGCGUGUAGCAGUGAAAUGCGUAGAUAUGCGGAGGAACACCGAUGGCGAAGGCAAUCCCCUGGGCCUGUACUGACGCUCAUGCACGAAAGCGUGGGGAGCAAACAGGAAUAGAUACCCUGGUAGUCCACGCCCUAAACGAUGUCUACUGGUUGUUGGGUCUUCACUGACUCAGUAACGAAGCAUACGCGUGAAGUUGACCGCCUGGGGAGUACGGCCGCAAGGUUGAAACGCAUAGGAAUUGACGGGGACCCGCACAAGCGGUGGAUGACGUGGUUUAAAACGAUGCAACGCGAAUAACCAUACUCACCUUUGACAUGUAUGGAAUCCUUUU